rnacentral:rRNA from 1 species
UUCCGUCGGAAUCUGGGAGGACCAUCUCCUAAGGCUAAAUACUCUCUAGUGACCGAUAGUGAACCAGUACCGUGAGGGAAAGGUGAAAAGCACCCCGGAAGGGGAGUGAAAUAGAACCUGAAACCGUGUGCUUACAAGUAGUCAGAGCCCGUUAAUGGGUGAUGGCGUGCCUUUUGUAGAAUGAACCGGCGAGUUACGAUUUGAU